rnacentral:lncRNA from 1 species
GGCAAGAAUGUUUUCUAAGACCCCGAACUCCAGAUUUGCGAUGUGGCA